AUUUGAAUGAGCUAUUGGUCCAGGGUUGUCUUUCAGUCUUUGAUGUUAACCGGAACAUUUUCCAUCAUGUGUCACUCAUGAUUCUCAAAGAAGCAAUCCAUUCUAGAUGCCACUGAAUACCAAUGGAG